GACGGGCCGCACAAGCGGUGGAGCAUGUGUUUAAUUCGAAGCGACGCGAAGAACCUUACAGGUCUUGACAUCCGAUGCUAUUCUAGAGAUAGAAGUUACUUCGGUACAUCGGUGACAGGUGGUGCAUGGUUGUCGUCAGCUCGUGUCGUGAGAUGUUGGGUUAAGUCCCGCAACGAGCGCAACCCCUAUUGUUAGUUGCCAUCAUUCAGUUGGGCACUCUAGCGAGACUGCCGGUAAUAAACCGGAGAAGUGGGGAUGACGUCAAAUCAUCAUGCCCCUUAUGACCUGGGCUACACACGUGCUACAAUGGUUGGUACAACGAGUUGCGAGUCGGUGACGGCGAGCUAAUCUCUUAAAGCCAAUCUCAGUUCGGAUUGUAGGCUGCAACUCGCCUACAUGAAGUCGGAAUCGCUAGUAAUCGCGGAUCAGCACGCCGCGGUGAAUACGUUCCCGGGCCUU
rnacentral:rRNA from 1 species